rnacentral:rRNA from 1 species
UGAGUAACCUGCCCUUAACUCUGGGAUAAGCCUGGGAAACUGGGUCUAAUACCGGAUAUGACUCCUCAUCGCAUGGUGGGGGGUGGAAAGCUUUAUUGUGGUUUUGGAUGGACUCGCGGCCUAUCAGCUUGUUGGUGAGGUAAUGGCUCACCAAGGCGACGACGGGUAGCCGGCCUGAGAGGGUGACCGGCCACACUGGGACUGAGACACGGCCCAGUCUCCGUACGGGAGGCAG